GGGUUGUGAGGUUAAGCGACUAAGCGUACACGGUGGAUGCCCUGGCAGUCAGAGGCGAUGAAGGGCGUGCUAAUCUGCGAUAAGCGCCGGUAAGGUGAUAUGAACCGUUAUAACCGGCGAUACCCGAAUGGGGAAACCCAGUGUGACUCGUCACACUAUCAUUAACUGAAUCCAUAGGUUAAUGAGGCGAACCGGGGGAACUGAAACAUCUAAGUACCCCGAGGAAAAGAAAUCAACCGAGAUUCCCCCAGUAGCGGCGAGCGAACGGGGAGGAGCCCAGAGCCUGAAUCAGCAUGUGUGUUAGUGGAAGCGUCUGGAAAGGCGCGCGAUACAGGGUGACAGCCCCGUACACAAAAGCGUAUGUGCUGUGAGCUCGAUGAGUAGGGCGGGACACGUGGUAUCCUGUCUGAAUAUGGGGGGACCAUCCUCCAAGGCUAAAUACUCCUGACUGACCGAUAGUGAACCAGUACCGUGAGGGAAAGGCGAAAAGAACCCCGGCGAGGGGAGUGAAAAAGAACCUGAAACCGUGUACGUACAAGCAGUGGGAGCCCCACCACUAAGCCAGUGGUGAACUCCACAUACGCAUCCUUUGCUGAGGAUACGGUUAACGGAGCGAAAGCGACGUUCAACCGCAAAAGAAGCAGAGGGGGCUUAGUGGUGG
rnacentral:rRNA from 1 species